CAAGUCGUACGAGAAAGUAGCAAUAUGAGUAAAGUGGCGCACGGGUGAGUAAUAAUUGGAUAAUGCGCCUCUUCGCUGGGGAUAACCAGGCGAAAGCUUGGCUAAUACCGAAUAGUCCGGUCCGUUCUUCGGAUCAGAUCGGUAAAGCUGUAAAGCGCGGAGAGAGUGGUCCAAUUCCCAUUAGCUAGUUGGUAGGGUAAUGGCCUACCAAGGCUACGAUGGGUAGCUGGUCUGAGAGGACGAUCAGCCACACUGGAACUGGAACACGGUCCAGACUCCUACGGGAGGCAGCAGUUAGGAAUCUUGCGCAAUGGGGGAAACCCUGACGCAGCAACGCCGCGUGAAGGAUGAAGGCUUUCGGGUUGUAAACUUCUUUUAGCAGGAAAGAACACAAUGACGGUACCUGCAGAAAAAGCACCGGCUAACUCUGUGCCAGCAGCCGCGGUAAUACAGAGGGUGCAAGCGUUAUUCGGAUUUACUGGGCAUAAAGAGCGCGUAGGCGGUUUAAUAAGUCUGAUGUGAAAUCCCUGGACCCAAUCCAGGAAGUGCAUCGGAUACUGUUAGACUAGAGUACAGGAGGGGACAGCGGAAUUCCUGGUGUAGAGGUGAAAUUCGUAGAUAUCAGGAGGAACAACAGCGGCGAAGGCGGCUGUCUGGACUGUCACUGACGCUGAGGCGCGAAAGCGUGGGGAGCAAACAGGAUUAGAUACCCUGGUAGUCCACGCCGUAAACGAUGGAUGCUAGAUGUCGGAAGGUUCUACCCUUUCGGUGUCGUCGCAAAUGCAUUAAGCAUCCCGCCUGGGGAGUACGGUCGCAAGAUUAAAACUCAAAGAAAUUGACGG
rnacentral:rRNA from 1 species